GCCGGUGUAGCUCAGUCGGUAGAGCAACUGAUUCGUAAUCAGUAGGUCGUCGGUUCGAUUCCGGCCACCGGCACCA
rnacentral:tRNA from 1 species